UAUCUUUGCAUUUCCUUGGAUACUGCAACAAAACAGUCUAAAAAAGCAGUUGGAAUGACUCUUGAACUGAAUAUGUUCUAGUUUUAGAAGCUGUGCUUUGGAAGGAAUGCACAAAAAUCUUCUCCAGGAAUAUUUGAGAAGGAAUUUUUCAUUUAUUUCAAGGAGAAUCCCACAUAGUGGUUGACAUUUUUCUUCAACAUUUAAGAUGUUCUCAAGACAUUCUACAUGGAUCCUUUUAUACAGAUGGUUGUUUCAAAUGUUCUGUGAAGCAACUCACUUGGCAAUGAGCAAGAAGUCCUUAAACUAGACUUAAUUGCUGAUUACAAUCAGUGGCAUUUGGUUAGCUGAUGCAUAACAAAGGUGUGCCACCUUGACCAAGCAUCAACAGAAGACUACUUUCCCCAAAAACAAGAUCUCCCUGCACAAGGAGGAUUACACAAACUGCUAGGGAAAUGAGGUGCUUCUUUAACCUGGGGAAGAAUGGGGAGCAAGUAAACAUCAGCUCCUGCCAGCUCUGAAAGACAGCCGUGGAGUCUGGAAGUAGGGUCCAACAGCUGAAGUAAUUCACAUCUUCAAUAAGCAACAGUUUGCUUCAGGGCUCAGCGGUCAGAGUCCUCAGAUCAUACAGACACUGUCAGCAAGAACUCUAUCAAGCUGCUGUUAACAGUUGACUUUAUAAUGCAUCCAAAUACUAAGCCUGGUUUAGAUAGACUUUAUCGACAUCAACAUCAACUAAACUGUAGGCAACUUUAAACACUGUCAAGUCCUUAUACAAUAUGCCUUAGAAGAUUAAUUUUAAUACACCUAAAGCAGACUGCAUGGGUAAAAGAAACCUGUUUGAUGAGGAAGAAGCAUUAACUACACAGCAGAAAAACUAAAAGAAACAAAACACCUAUUUGUAAAAGUUGUUAACUAGUUCUUUUUUCCUUGAAAUCUCCUUCCUGAAAGUUUUUGUAUAUUAUUUUUGUUUUACUGAUGAGUUGGAGAAAUCAGAACAAAGCAAGACAAGCAGCAAACCUAUUUUUAAAACGACUGUACUUGCACUGCAUCUUGGAUUCCACUCCUAAAACAUAUCACAAAGUAUUUUGUGGAGAUGAAAAUCAUAAAGAGUCCGGCAUUCACAUUCUCUGAAAAAAUUCCUUCACCCAAGAAUUUUAUCCUGGGAAUCUGAGCGGCCUCAGUGAAAAGGAAAACAAUUCUUACCUCAUUUG